GCGGCCGCUCCGUUUGUUCCUGCCAGAGGUUACUGCUAUCGAGGUUCGACUAAGCCAUGCGAGUCGAAUGUAGCAAUACAUGGCGUACUCUCAGUAACACGUGGACAACCUACCCUUGGGACGGGGAUGAACCCGGGAAACUGGGUACAAUACCCGAUAGUCCUCGACUGCUGGAAUGCAUCGAGGUCGAAAGCUCCGGUGCCCAAGGGUGGGUCUGCGGCCUAUCAGGUAGUAGUGGGUGUAGCGUACCUACUAGCCUACGACGGGUACGGGUUGUGAGAGCAAGAGCCCGGAGAKUGGAUCCUGAGCCACGAAUCSCAGGCCCUACGGGGUGCAGCAGGCGCGAAACCUUUACAAUGCUGGCAACAGCGAUAAGGGGACCUCGAGUGCCACGAUACAAUCGUGGCUGUCUAGUUGCCUAAAAAGCAAUUGAUAGCAAGGGCCGGGCAAGACCGGUGCCAGCCGCCGCGGUAACACCGGCGGCUCGAGUGGUAACCGCUAUUAUUCGGUCUAAAGGGUCUGUAGCCGGCUUAGUCAGUCUUUUGAGAAAUCUGGCCGCUCAACGGGCAGGCGUUCAGGGGAUACUGCUAAAGCUCGAGACCGGGAGAGGUGAGAGGUACUUCAGGGGUAGGGGUGAAAUCUUGUAAUCCUUGAAGGACCACCAGUGGCGAAGCCGUCUCACCAGAACGGAUCUGACGGCAAGGGACGAAAGCUAGGGGCACGAACCGGAUUAGAUACCCGGGUAGUCCUAGCCGUAAACGUUACUCGCUAGGUGUCGGCCACGGUGCGACCGUGGUCGGGUGCCGUAGGGAAGCCGUGAAGCGAGCCACCUGGGAAGUACGGCCGCAAGGCUGAAACUUAAAGGAAUUGGCGGGGGGAGCACUACAACGGGUGGAGCUGCGGUUUAAUUGGAUUCAACGCCGGGAAGCUUACCGGGAUCGACAGCAAUAUGAAGGCCAGGCUGAAGACCUUGCCGGAUUAGCUGAGAGGUGGUGCAUGGCCGUCGUCAGUUCGUACUGUGAAGCAUCCUGUUAAGUCAGGCAACGAGCGAGACCC
rnacentral:rRNA from 1 species